rnacentral:siRNA from 1 species
UACACGUCCGUAUAUUGGUGAUU